rnacentral:rRNA from 1 species
GCUGGCGGCGCGCUUAACACAUGCAAGUCGAACGAGAAAGGGGAGCAAUCCCUGAGUAAAGUGGCGUCCGGGUGAGUAACACGUGGGUAAUCUACCCUUUGGUGGGGAAUAACCCUGGGAAACCGGGGCUAAUACCGCAUAUCUCCGAGAGGAGAAAGCCGAAAGGCGCCGAAGGAGGAGCCCGCGGCCGAUUAGCUUGUUGGUGGGGUAACGGCCCACCAAGGCCAAGAUCGGUAGCCGGCCUGAGAGGGCACACGGCCACACUGGCACUGAAAUACGGGCCAGACUCCUACGGGAGGCAGCAGUGGGGAAUCUUGCACAAUGGGGGAAACCCUGAUGCAGCGACGCCGCGUGAGCGAUGAAGCCCUUCGGGGUGUAAAGCUCUUUCGGCAGGAACGAUUAUGACGGUACCUGCAGAAGAAGCUGCGGCUAACUACGUGCCAGCAGCCGCGGUAAUACGUAGGCAGCGAGCGUUGUUCGGAGUUACUGGGCGUAAAGAGUAUGUUGGCGGUUUCGUAAGUUUGGUGUGAAAUCUCCCGGCUUAACCGGGAGGGUGCGCCGAAAACUGCG